rnacentral:rRNA from 1 species
AUUGAACGCUGGCGGCAGGCCUAACACAUGCAAGUCGAGCGGAUGAGCGGAGCUUGCUCCAUGAUUCAGCGGCGGACGGGUGAGUAAUGCCUAGGAAUCUGCCUGGUAGUGGGGGACAACGUUUCGAAAGGAACGCUAAUACCGCAUACGUCCUACGGGAGAAAGCAGGGGACCUUCGGGCCUUGCGCUAUCAGAUGAGCCUAGGUCGGAUUAGCUAGUUGGUGAGGUAAAGGCUCACCAAGGCGACGAUCCGUAACUGGUCUGAGAGGAUGAUCAGUCACACUGGAACUGAGACACGGUCCAGACUCCUACGGGAGGCAGCAGUGGGGAAUAUUGGACAAUGGGCGAAAGCCUGAUCCAGCCAUGCCGCGUGUGUGAAGAAGGUCUUCGGAUUGUAAAGCACUUUAAGUUGGGAGGAAGGGCAGUAAGUUAAUACCUUGCUGUUUUGACGUUACCAACAGAAUAAGCACCGGCUAACUUCGUGCCAGCCGCCGCCGUAAUAC